rnacentral:snoRNA from 1 species
AUCCUUUCAGGGUCAUACUUGGAGAGUUUACAGUACUCUACCAGUCUCGACUAUGGGAGGAAGAGUCAAGCGGAGGCAUACCCAUUCCACUCCUAGCUUGGGCAGUGGCUAGAGAGUGGAAGGCAAUUUGCUACAAGU